UGGACCAAUACAUAAACACAGUGAAAACGGACUAAUACACAAACACAGGCCAUCUUUAGGUGUGGGUCAUUCCAGGGUUUUAUGGACUCAUUUUAUUUGUUCAGUGUUUGCUGAUUUGCAUCAGUCUCUACCUAUGGGUGUGUCCAGGCUGAGACAGAGCUGGGACUGACUGAUUCUUCUGGGGCUAGACCUAGUUUCCUUCCUCUCCUAUCCCCAGCAGUUGUCUCUGUAGGGGUGGAGGGAUUUUCUUUUUUUUUGUGGUUGUGUAUGGAGAGAAAUGGUUUUGGAGUUUUGUUUUGUUUUGUUUUGUUUUGUUUUCUGGAGCACAUAGGUGGGACAAGAGGGGAGACCCCACCUGGCCUGAAGAAUUGGAUUUUGGCCCUGGUGAAAGAGGAAAUGGAGCAGAGACUGCCUGAAUGAAGUUAAGAAAAUGCCUGGGGAGACUCUGAGCUGAAGGAGGCGGCCCAUGUUGGGAUCCAGGGCCAAUAUAGCAUCAGAUGCAUCGAACUCACAGAACAUCGCUCCCCAGCUGCCGGCCCACAGUUCUGAGAGUGCCUGAAUAGAAAACCACUCAUUUCCCUUCGCAAUAGAGGCGCCCAAAGCAGAUAUGUCAAUAUAUUCCAAUUUAGCCGAGGGAAGCCAGAACAUGGAUGUUGUUGCCAAGGAAACCACCUCCUUCCUCCUGUGUGCCGUGCAUACGUGUAUCACUUCAUCUCUCUGCUCUCCAAGCUGGAAUCCAGAUCUGACAUGGAUCUCCUGCCCCAGUUCUGAAGUCUACCUGGUGCCCCAGCCGAACCUGCCCUGGCUCCUGGGUGGGGUAUGGACAUCUGUGGUAUCCCUCCCUAACACCCCACCAAGCUGGGCUGCAAGACAGAUUAU
rnacentral:lncRNA from 1 species